UCUUUUAUUUUUCACUAUCUAGUAUCUGGACUAUACAGAUCUCUUGGGCAAUUUAUCUGCCCUAUUCCCGGCAGUUAUUAUUGCAACUAGAAUCAGUAUUGACAGAAAUCUCUUGGGAUGAAUUAUAUCCAUCUCUUCUGAGACUACCUCAUCAUCAAUCUUCCCAUUUUUUCUAUCAUCAUUUUAAUCAGUACCUGCUUGCCUCCGGCUCCUCUUCCUCUAUAGGCUUGCAUCCAGGCUCUGUGCAUUGCACGGUGAUCCUACCCGCAUGCUUAAGAGGAUCAUUUCCUCUUUUUCCCAUCCCUCCUUCCAUCUAUCUGGGAUUUUCCAUCUGGGACUUUGAGCCAACCACGGCCAACUAUUCAGGUUUUUUUAGUCCACUUUUACAGACUACUGCCCCCCAUUGGUUCCUGACGAAGCCCCCUUGGGCGAAACUAGUAGAACCGUUACAUGUGGGAUGAAAUGAAGAUCACCUGCAUCU